rnacentral:rRNA from 1 species
AUAUCAAUAAGCGGAGGAAAAGAAACCAACAGGGAUUCCCCCAGUAACGGCGAGUGAAGCGGGAACAGCUCAAAUUUGAAAUCUGGCCCUCGGGUCCGAGUUGUAAUUUGUAGAGGAUGCUUUUGGUGCGGUGCCUUCCGAGUUCCCUGGAACGGGACGCCUUAGAGGGUGAGAGCCCCGUACGGUUGGACGCCUAGCCUCUGUAAAGCUCCUUCGACGAGUCGAGUAGUUUGGGAAUGCUGCUCUAAAUGGGAGGUAUAUUUCUUCUAAAGCUAAAUACCGGCCAGAGACCGAUAGCGCACAAGUAGAGUGAUCGAAAGAUGAAAAGCACUUUGAAAAGAGGGUUAAAUAGCACGUGAAAUUGUUGAAAGGGAAGCGUUUAUCACCAGACUUUUUCUAGGGGGAUCAUCCGGGGUUCUCCCCGGUGCACUUCCCCUAGUUGAGGCCAGCAUCGGUUUUCGGAGGGGGAUAAAAGUUUCGGGAAUGUGACUCCCCCGGGAGUGUUAUAGCCCGUUACAUAAUACCCUUCUGGGGACCGAGGUUCGCGCAUCUGCAAGGAUGCUGGCAUAAUGGUGAUCAACGACCCGUCUUGAAACACGGACCAAGGAGUCGAACAUUUAUGCGAGUGUUUGGGUGUCAAACCCUCACGCGUAAUGAAAGUGAACGGAGGUGAGAGCCCUUACGGGUGCAUCAUCGACCGAUCCUGAUGUCUUCGGAUGGAUUUGAGUAAGAGCAUAACUGUUCGGACCCGAAAGAUGGUGAACUAUGCGUGGAUAGGGUGAAGCCAGGAGAAAUCCUGGUGGAGGCUCGCAGCGGUUCUGACGUGCAAAUCGAUCGUCAAAUCUGCGCAUGGGGGCGAAAGACUAAUCGAACCAUCUAGUAGCUGGU